rnacentral:rRNA from 1 species
AGCAGCCGCGGUAAUUCCAGCUCCAAUAGCGUAUAUUAAAGUUGUUGCAGUUAAAAAAGCUCGUAGUUGAAUUUCGGGACCAAUUUGUUGGUCGUGCCUCGGUACGUACUGGUAUUAUUGGUUUCUCCCUUCUGAAGAACCAUGAUGCCAUUAAUUUGGUGUCGUGGGAAUCAGGACUGUUACUUUGAAAAAAUUAGAGUGUUUAAAGCAGGCAUACGCUUGAAUACAUUAGCAUGGAAUAAUGAAAUAGGACGUUUGAUUCGUAUUUUGUUGGUUUCUAGGAUCGACGUAAUGAUUAAUAGGGAUAGUUGGGGGCAUUAGUAUUCAAUUGUCAGAGGUGAAAUUCUUGGAUUUAUUGAAGACUAACUACUGCGAAAGCAUUUGCCAAGGAUGUUUUCAUUAAUCAAGAACGAAAGUUAGGGGAUCGAAGACGAUCAGAUACCGUCGUAGUCUUAACCAUAAACUAUGCCGACUAGGGAUCGGAUGAUGUUAAUUUUUUAAUGUACUCA